rnacentral:rRNA from 1 species
UAAGCCAUGCAUGUGGAAGCGAAGCCUUUUAAGGUGGAGCGGCGUACGGCUCAGUAACGGGCGAUCAAUUUGAUCUGCCUAUACGGACAUCCUCUGUAAACGGAGGGUAAAACGUAAGGGGGGCUUCCUAGCGGAAGUUCGCCAAACCUGUAAAGGUGAGGCAGAGUAAGAAGCCAUCCCAUCAGUUAUUAAGUAGGGUAAGGGCCUACUUAGACGAAGACGGGUACGGGGAAUUAUCGUUUGAUUCCGCAGAGGGAGCCUGAGAGACGGCUACCGGGUCCAAGGACAACAGCAGGCGCGAAAAUUACCGCAGCCUGCGAUCAGGGCGGUAGUAAGGAGACGUGAUGACGAAGUGCUGAUAAAAGCUGCACUAGUGACAGGAGGAAAAGACUGGUGCCAGCACCCGCGGUAAUACCAGCUCCUGGAGUGUCUAUGAUGAUUGCUGC